rnacentral:sRNA from 1 species
AAUCAAACAAUGUAAGCCCUUCCUACUCAUACAUCCUUGCAACCCCUUAGUUGCGCCAGUGUGGAUAACAUUAAAAAAUAA